AAGAGCACCUAUUAUGGGAUACACGUUUUUAAACAUCCUUUUGUGUGUAAGUGUGCAUUAGUACAUGCUAACGAUAUUCAAAAAGUACAUACCUCAAAGAAAACGAUGACGCGAGUUAUCGUCUCUAACGUUCGAGGACUACAAAAAACACUCGGAUUGUAGGCAACAGUUUACUUCCUGGGAUUAGUGACGUAGAUAAGACCAACAUUAUCAUAGUUCAGCCCUCUCUGCUUUGCUUGGGUACGCCCUCAAAGACGAGGGUGGGGUGGGGAGCGAGCGCCGAGUCAGAAGAGAGCUAAAAUGGCGGAGGUUGGGAGUCCCUGCUUUGACUCUGUUUGCAAACUCUUGUUUCAUUGUUUAAGCGAUUAAAUCUCUCGAGUAGACGCUGUCUCUUUAGAUGCGAGGGCAAAAUAGCACUUUAUGGACUUCCACAGAGGACAUAAUGUUUAAUACGGUUCCGGAAAAAUCCAGUCAGAAGUUGUUCACGGAGUUUUCACAAUAACUGCUUCUCAUGAACCGAAGCUGGAUUUGCGCGACGUCUCCUCUUGAAAGUUGGAUUACUGUGCACUUCUGGAUCACAGACUAUUCGCAGCUGUACACAUCCUUCUACACUGUAUGCAAACAUGCAACAUCAUUACACACAGUACAAGGAGUCAGACUGGCAUAUGAGGAGCAAAGGAACCCAGGCAGUAGCAUCGUUUCACAAUGUUUCCAUCAUCAUCAUCAGUGGAUGCCUUUGCCGUCCGUAGCCUGAGAUUUCAGAUUUGCAGCAAAAAAAAAUUGAUUUUCUCAUUUAUUGGAAUGCUGUGCAGGUAUUUGUACCUUGCAGCCAUCCAUUACAAUGUCACCAAGCCGUAACAAAAGCAGGAGAGGGAAAGUACAAGGCUAUGUUCCCAAAACACACAAGUGACAUACCUUAUGUGGAGGAUGUGAUCAGGCUUGUGUUUGAUGAGGUAUUUGAAGAUAAGCUGAAGGAAACCCCGAUUCCAAUGGACCUGGCAUCACAGUUUGAGAGACCUUCAAAGGAGGACGUGAUUGCAUGCCAUCUUCAGUGCAGGGGUCAUCGAAAGCCAAAAUUGUGACCGAUCUGAUCAGGAAGCUCCAAGCGUAUCUGGAGAACAACACACGACAGGAUGAUAACCUUAUAGUGUCGUCUUAAAUAGCACCAGCUGACAAAGCUUUGCUGUGCCAUUUAUCUGAAUAGAUAGCUGUAAGAAAUGAAUUGAACAAUUUUUGAAACAAGAGCACAAUAUGGUUACUAAAGUAUGUUUAUUUGUAUAUUGUUUAACAUUUAAAUAUAUAUUUGUAAUAAAUAAAAAAAACUUUUGACUGACUAUUAUAUUUUCUUUAAA